rnacentral:tRNA from 1 species
UGGCUCAGCUGGUAGUGCAUGGCACUUGCAACGCCAGGGUUGUGGGUUUGAUUCCCAU